rnacentral:lncRNA from 1 species
CAGGGCUGAUUUCCUUCAGAAUGGAUAGGUUUGAUCUUCUUGCAGUCCAUGGGACUCUCAAGAGUCUCCUCCAGCACCAGAAUUCAAAAGCAUCAAUUCUUCGGCGAUCAGCCUUCUUUAUGGUCCAGCUCUCGCUUCCAUACAUCACUACUGGGAAAACCAUAGCUUUAACUAUACGGACCUUUGUUGGCAAGGUGAUGUCUCUGCUUUUUAG